AGCAGCCCAGAGCCUGAAUCAGUGUGUGUGUUAGUGGAAGCGUCUGGAAAGGCGCGCGAUACAGGGUGACAGCCCCGUACACAAAAAUGCACAUACUGUGAGCUCGAUGAGUAGGGCGGGACACGUGGUAUCCUGUCUGAAUAUGGGGGGACCAUCCUCCAAGGCUAAAUACUCCUGACUGACCGAUAGUGAACCAGUACCGUGAGGGAAAGGCGAAAAGAACCCCGGCGAGGGGAGUGAAAAAGAACCUGAAACCGUGUACGUACAAGCAGUGGGAGCCUCUUAAUGGGGUGACUGCGUACCUUUUGUAUAAUGGGUCAGCGACUUAUAUUCUGUAGCAAGGUUAACCGAAUAGGGGAGCCGAAGGGAAACCGAGUCUUAACUGGGCGUUAAGUUGCAGGGUAUAGACCCGAAACCCGGUGAUCUAGCCAUGGGCAGGUUGAAGGUUGGGUAACACUAACUGGAGGACCGAACCGACUAAUGUUGAAAAAUUAGCGGAUGACUUGUGGCUGGGGGUGAAAGGCCAAUCAAACCGGGAGAUAGCUGGUUCUCCCCGAAAGCUAUUUAGGUAGCGCCUCGUGAAUUCAUCUCCGGGGGUAGAGCACUGUUUCGGCAAGGGGGUCAUCCCGACUUACCAACCCGAUGCAAACUGCGAAUACCGGAGAAUGUUAUCACGGGAGACACACGGCGGGUGCUAACGUCCGUCGUGAAGAGGGAAACAACCCAGACCGCCAGCUAAGGUCCCAAAGUCAUGGUUAAGUGGGAAACGAUGUGGGAAGGCCCAGACAGCCAGGAUGUUGGCUUAGAAGCAGCCAUCAUUUAAAGAAAGCGUAAUAGCUCACUGGUCGAGUCGGCCUGCGCGGAAGAUGUAACGGGGCUAAACCAUGCACCGAAGCUGCGGCAGCGACACUAUGUGUUGUUGGGUA
rnacentral:rRNA from 1 species